AAGUCGUAACAAGGUUACCUUCUGUAGCGCAGCUCCGGAGACCUUGCACCCCUUAUGGGAGGCAGCACGACAGUAAACAAAGCUCGCCGCGUGCAAGUUGGCUUAAAAUGUCAGCAACACAAUCGAAUUGACGGGGACCUCCUAAAGCCUGCAACACCAACCGUCCGGGGAAACUCGGGCGGGGCCCUCACGGGGUGGUAAGAGAGUGUAGGAUGCUACAAUGGACGAUCCGCAGCGAAGACCCUACCGGCUAUCGAGCCCACGGGUGCCGUU
rnacentral:misc_RNA from 1 species